GCGCCGGCUGCCCGAGGCGGCUGGGCGAUUGGUGGGGGGGUGGGGUGUCUCAAGUAGGGCCUCAAGCCUAGCCUUCGUGCUUUUCGCAGCCCCGGGAACAAAUUUCCCUAAGGGCCGCGUGAGGAGGGGGCAUAGCGGGGUACCAUAUAUAGGGAUUUCUAAUUUUAAGGACUCAUUGAUCAUCUGCAGAGUUUGAGAAUUCUACAGAGCGUUUAGACUUGAUUACAUGAUUACCAUUAUUUGGGGUGGUAAUGAAGUGACUUGGAAGAAUAGCAAAAUAAGGAUCAAUGAGGAAGACAGCAAAUUUCACACCAGUGUAAUUGGGUUACCAGUUGACUCAAGGAUGAGUAGAUUGUACUUCAAAUUAUACAGAUUAAAAACUCAAAGAUGACCUUGUAA